UACAUGGGGUGCAAACGUUGCUCGGAAUUAUUGGGCGUAAAGCGCGCGUAGGCGGUUACUUAAGUCGGAUGUGAAAGCCCCUCGGCUUAACUGAGGAAGUGCACCCGAAACUGAGUAGCUAGAGUACGAAAGAGGGUCGCGGAAUUCCCGGUGUAGAGGUGAAAAUUCGUAGAUAUCGGGAGGAACACCGGUGGCGAAGGCGGCGACCUGGGUCGAGACUGACGCUCAUGCACGAAAGCGUGGGGAGCAAACAGG
rnacentral:rRNA from 1 species